AGUAUUGAAGACUAGUUAACUCAGUCUGAAUUCAUAGACUACCAAUGUCAAUGUAUUAGGCCUGUACUGCUGUUAUCUUAGGUCAACAAAAGCCCCCUUGUCUUAUAUAACAGAAGCUCCCUUGUUUUAUAGUGCUAAAUGAAAGUACUUUGCAUACAAUGUAUGGGUAUGCAUUCUGUGUUUAGGCACUUGUGUUGUAGAUGUAUCGCAUAUUAUGUGUAGAGGCAGUAUAUCAUCAGUGUUCAAGUGAAUGUCUCAACAGUGAAGUUGCUAGUUGCAACCGUCUUCAAAAGUUUGAUUUCCAGUGAUUGUGGAGCAUUUUACAGACCCGAAUUGAUUGUUAUCUGAAGGUUGGGUGACCAUACGACCAGUGAAUAAACGACAGUUCGUGAACUUUAA
rnacentral:lncRNA from 1 species